rnacentral:rRNA from 1 species
AACGAACGCUGGCGGCAUGCCUAACACAUGCAAGUCGAACGAAGCCUUCGGGCUUAGUGGCGCACGGGUGCGUAACGCGUGGGAAUCUGCCCUUGGGUUCGGAAUAACAGUUAGAAAUGACUGCUAAUACCGGAUGAUGUCUUCGGACCAAAGAUUUAUCGCCCAAGGAUGAGCCCGCGUAGGAUUAGGUAGUUGGUGGGGUUAUGGCCCACCAAGCCGACGAUCCUUAGCUGGUCCGAGAGGAUGAUCAGCCACACUGGGACUGAGACACGGCCCAGACUCCUACGGGAGGCAGCAGUGGGGAAUAUUGGACAAUGGGCGAAAGCCUGAUCCAGCAAUGCCGCGUGAGUGAUGAAGGCCUUAGGGUUGUAAAGCUCUUUUACCAGGGAUGAUAAUGACAGUACCUGGAGAAUAAGCUCCGGCUACUCCGUGCCAGCCGCCGCCGUAAAAC